GAUGAACGCUGGCGGCGUGCUUAACACAUGCAAGUCGAACGGUAAGGCCCUUCGGGGUACACGAGUGGCGAACGGGUGAGUAACACGUGGGUGAUCUGCCCUGCACUUCGGGAUAAGCCUGGGAAACUGGGUCUAAUACCGGGUAGGACCACUGCCUGCAUGGGUGGUGGUGGAAAGCUUUUGCGGUGUGGGAUGGGCCCGCGGCCUAUCAGCUUGUUGGGGGGGUGAUGGCCUACCAAGGCGACGACGGGUAGCCGGCCUGAGAGGGUGACCGGCCACACUGGGACUGAGAUACGGCCCAGACUCCUACGGGAGGCAGCAGUGGGGAAUAUUGCUCAAUGGGCGCAAGCCUGAUGCAGCGACGCCGCGUGAGGGAUGACGGCCUUCGGGUUGUAAACCUCUUUCAGCACCGACGAAGCGCAAGUGACGGUAGGUGCAGAAGAAGGACCGGCCAACUACGUGCCAGCAGCCGCGGUAACAC
rnacentral:rRNA from 1 species